GUUUGAUCCUGGCUCAGGAUGAACGCUGGCGGCGUGCCUAACACAUGCAAGUCGAACGUCCUGUCUCGCAAGAGGCAGGGAGUGGCGGACGGGUGAGUACCACGUGGGUUAUCUACCGUGAGGUGAGGAAUACCGGCGAGAAAUCGCCGACGAGACCGCAUACCCUCGGUGCACGCCGAGGAAAGCUUUCUCGAGAGAGGGAGCGCCACACGAGGAGCCUGCGCCCGAUUAGCUAGCUGGUGGAGUAACGGUUCACCAUGAGCGACUAUCGGUAGCUGGUCUGAGAGGACGAUCAGCCACGCUGGGAUUGAGAACGGCCCAUACUCCUACGGGGGGCAGCAGUGAGGAAUUUUCGUCAAUGGGGGCAACCCUGAACGAGCAACGCCACGUGCAGGAAGAACGUUUUCGGAUCGUAAACUGCUUUUCUCGGGGAAGAGAACGGACGGUACCCGAGGAAUCAGCCCCGGCUAACUACGUGCCGGCAGCCGCGGUAAUACGUAGGGGGCAAGCGUUGUCCGGAGUUACUGGGCGUAAAGCGCACGCAUGCGGUUCUUUCAGUUCCUGGUGACAGUCGUCGGCUUCACUGACUAACGAGUGGGAAGACGGGACAACUUGAUGGCUUCACAGGGACACCGAAUUCCGGGUGGAGUGGUGAAAUGCGUAGAUAU
rnacentral:rRNA from 1 species